AUAGUUUGAUCAUGGCUCAGAACGUACGCUGGCGGCACGCCUAACACAUGCAAGUCGAACGAAUUAGCAAUACUUAGUGGCAGACGGGUGAGUAACAUGUGGGUAUCUGCCCUAUGGUCUGGAAUAACACGAGGAAACUUGUGCUAAUACCGGAUAAGUCUUUACGGAGAAAGCUUUAUGCACCAUUGGAUGAGCCCGCACUUGAUUAGUUUGUUGGGUAGGUAAUGGCCUACCAAGACUGCGAUCAAUAGCUGAUUUGAGAGGAUGAUCAGCCACAUUGGGACUGAGACACGGCCCAAACUCCUACUGGAGGCAGCAGUCGGGAAUAUUGGACAAUGGGGGAAACCCUGAUCCAGCCAUGCCGCGUGUGUGAAGAAGGCCUAGGGUUGUUAAGCC
rnacentral:rRNA from 1 species